AAAAAGAGAGGACAGGGCUGAGGACAUCGAAGAUACUCAAAGUUUGUUUGUGUUGGAGAGUGGUUGAUGGUUUAACGUGAUUUCAAUUCAACUUGGCAUAAACACCAUGGAGGAAGACAAGGAAAGAGUUCAACAGAAACAUAAAAUAUCAAGGACACUGCCAGCAUCCAUCAGUCGCUGGGAACGAAACACCAAGCUUCCAGAAGGGGCAAUUCUCCUUAACCCUUAUGAAGUCAAACAGGUUAUUGAGAAGAAGUUAUCUGCUCACCCUGAUUAUACAGACACAGAACAAUUGAAUGGAAUGCAGUUUGUGACAUCAAAUCUAAUUAUGAUAUAGUGUAUGAAGUAGAAGUUAGUGACUUUCUAGUCAACUCUGAAAUCAAUUGAAAAGCCUCAACAUAUAAUGCUAAAGUUUCUCUUACAAAAAGGACCAGUGAUGGCAGCUUCUGUAGCAGGUGUUACCGCUUCCUAUCUCGCAGCAGGCAUGCCAAAGGUCUUCUCAUACUCAGCAUCUUCAUCAUUAGCCAUGAUUGCAGGCACAACAUUAGUAUCAGUGCUGCCAACAGUUUCCUCUCAGACAUUUUUUAUUAGAGAACCAAUUAUAAGUGGUCUCAAUGUAAGCUUGCCUCAAGUAUUAGCAACGAGCUUGGCCACUCAGACUGUUUUUGGAGUAUUCUGUCCAUGUUUUCUAACCACCUUAAGAAUGUUCUCAACACAGAACAAUUCUAGUUCACUGAAAGGAAAUUUUGCAUGGAUGUAUAAGGCAAUUUUACAAAACAAAAAGUUUACCAGGAUGCUUUAUGGUUGUUUGACUGUACAAAUUGUCUUUGGAGGUCUUCUGCCAUAUUUUACUCUAAUACAGUUUGAGGAUUUUGUAGCUAAUGUGGUGAGCCCUAAAUGAUAGGUAAACUUGAAAUCCAUUUUUUCUGGUAAACAUAUCUUUGCACUUUCAAUUUUAUGGAUAAAUAUAUCAGAAUAAUUGAUUUUAUGAAAUAAAAACUUUAAAUUUGUUGUUUGAUGAUGUUGUAGAGUUGACAUGUGCAUGUAUUUGACCAUUGUCUUCAAUAAAUUGUUUUAUGCAAUUUGUGAUUCCAAAAGGAUGUACUUGUUUACUCAGAAUAAAAAGAACCUUACUGAUGAAAAUGC
rnacentral:misc_RNA from 1 species